UACGAACUGUGCGAACGUUAUUCGGAAUCACUGGGCUUAAAGGGUGCGUAGGCGGCUGCCUAAGUCAGGUGUGAAAUCUCCCGGCUCAACCGGGAAACUGCGCUUGAUACUGGGCGGCUCGAGUGAGGUAGGGGUGUGUGGAACUUCCGGUGGAGCGGUGAAAUGUGUAGAUAUCGGAAGGAACGCCAGCAGCGAAAGCGGCACACUGGGCCUUUUCUGACGCUGAGGCACGAAAGCCAGGGGAGCGAACGGG
rnacentral:rRNA from 2 species